AUUGAAGGAGCUUGCUCCUGAUUGAUAAACAUUUGAGUGAGUGGCGGACGGGUGAGUAACACGUGGGUAACCUGCCCUAAAGUGGGGGAUAACAUUUGGAAACAGAUGCUAAUACCGCAUAAAACCUAACACCGCAUGGUGUAGGGUUGAAAGAUGGUUUCGGCUAUCACUUUAGGAUGGACCCGCGGUGCAUUAGUUAGUUGGUGAGGUAAAGGCUCACCAAGACCGUGAUGCAUAGCCGACCUGAGAGGGUAAUCGGCCACACUGGGACUGAGACACGGCCCAGACUCCUACGGGAGGCAGCAGUAGGGAAUCUUCCACAAUGGACGAAAGUCUGAUGGAGCAACGCCGCGUGAGUGAAGAAGGUUUUCGGAUCGUAAAACUCUGUUGUUGGAGAAGAAUGUAUCUGAUAGUAACUGAUCAGGUAGUGACGGUAUCCAACCAGAAAGCCACGGCUAACUACGUGCCAGCAGCCGCGGUAAUACGUAGGUGGCAAGCGUUGUCCGGAUUUAUUGGGCGUAAAGCGAGCGCAGGCGGUUUCUUAAGUCUGAUGUGAAAGCCUUCGGCUCAACCGAAGAAGUGCAUCGGAAACUGGGAAACUUGAGUGCAGAAGAGGACAGUGGAACUCCAUGUGUAGCGGUGAAAUGCGUAGAUAUAUGGAAGAACACCAGUGGCGAAGGCGGCUGUCUGGUCUGUAACUGACGCUGAGGCUCGAAAGCAUGGGUAGCAAACAGGAUUAGAUACCCUGGUAGUCCAUGCCGUAAACGAUGAGUGCUAGGUGUUGGAGGGUUUCCGCCCUUCAGUGCCGCAGCUAACGCAUUAAGCACUCCGCCUGGGGAGUACGACCGCAAGGUUGAAACUCAAAGGAAUUGACGGGGGCCCGCACAAGCGGUGGAGCAUGUGGUUUAAUUCGAAGCAACGCGAAGAACCUUACCAGGUCUUGACAUCCUUUGACCACUCUAGAGAUAGAGCUUUCCCUUCGGGGACAAAGUGACAGGUGGUGCAUGGUUGUCGUCAGCUCGUGUCGUGAGAUGUUGGGUUAAGUCCCGCAACGAGCGCAACCCUUAUUACUAGUUGCCAGCAUUAAGUUGGGCACUCUAGUGAGACUGCCGGUGACAAACCGGAGGAAGGUGGGGACGACGUCAAAUCAUCAUGCCCCUUAUGACCUGGGCUACACACGUGCUACAAUGGAUGGUACAACGAGUUGCGAGACCGCGAGGUUUAGCUAAUCUCUUAAAACCAUUCUCAGUUCGGAUUGUAGGCUGCAACUCGCCUACAUGAAGCCGGAAUCGCUAGUAAUCGCGGAUCAGCAUGCCGCGGUGAAUACGUUCCCGGGCCUUGUACACACCGCCCGUCACACCAUGAGAGUUUGUAACACC
rnacentral:rRNA from 2 species